rnacentral:miRNA from 1 species
CAUCCAUAUUUUCAUCUCGAA